UGAGGUCUACAGAUGUA
rnacentral:misc_RNA from 1 species